rfam:Helianthus annuus linkage group 8, whole genome shotgun sequence.
UCACUUACCUGGUUGGGGUCAAUGGGUGAUCAAGAAGGUCCAUGGCCUACGUUGGUGACCUCCAUUGCACUUUGGAGGGGUGCCCGCCUAAGGUUGGCCCAAGUGGUCGAGCCUACAUCAUAAUUUGUGGCAGUGGGGGCUUGCGUUCGCGCAGCCCCUGC